AGCAGCCGCGGUAAUUCCAGCUCCAAUAGCGUAUAUUAAAGUUGUUGCAGUUAAAAAGCUCGUAGUUGAAUUUCGGGAUUGACACAUCGGUCGUGCCUUAAGGGGUAUGAACUGGUGUAGUCAAUUUCUCACCUUCUGGAGAACCGCGAUGCCCUUAAUUGGGUGUCGCGGGGAACCAGGACCUUUACUUUGAAAAAAUUAGAGUGUUUAAAGCAGGCAUUUUGCUUGAAUACAUUAGCAUGGAAUAAUAAAAUAGGACGGCAUGAUUCUAUUUUGUUGGUUUCUAGGAUCACCGUAAUGAUUAAUAGGGAUAGUUGGGGGCAUUAGUAUUCAAUUGUCAGAGGUGAAAUUCUUGGAUUUAUUGAAGACUAACUACUGCGAAAGCAUUUGCCAAGGAUGUUUUCAUUAAUCAAGAACGAAAGUUAGGGGAUCGAAGACGAUCAGAUACCGUCGUAGUCUUAACCAUAAACUAUGCCGACUAGGAAUCAGACGAUGUUAAUUUUUAAUGACUCGUUUGCUA
rnacentral:rRNA from 1 species